AAGUUCUGCCGUGGUGUGGAAUCUACACGAAGAAGACAAUUUGUGACACUACGCAUGCGCUGUCAACUUUCAAUUUCUUGCCAGCACGUUUCGUUCCCUAUUUGAUAUCUGCCGAGUAAACAAUAACAAUCACGGAUUGCAGACGUAGCAAGCGAGACGUGCACGCUACAGAGAGGAGAUCACUCUCCAGAAAUGGAACGUAACCCCUCACCUCCCCCGGACACAGCUGAUGGCGAUGAGGCUGAAGAUACGGAUGCUAUUGGCGACACUGUAUACAGCAAGCACUGGCUUUUCAGCACACUGUCUCGCCUCAUCCAGAUGGUCACAAAACCUCCAGAGGACUCAGAAGGCCAGAUGCAGCUCACUGAAGAUGAGGAAGAAGAUCUCUGCCGAGUUUGGGAUAUGGCAAUGGAUAAGGAUGUGGCUGGUUUCUUGCAGGAGUUUAAAGCUCCAGGCAUCCUUCUUGGAGUGAUAGCCAAAUCUGAUAAUCCGCGUCUCACAGAAAUUUGUGUCGGGAUACUUGGGAACAUUGCUUGCUUUCCAGACAAUUGUCUGACUCUUAGUGAAAAUGAAGACUUGGGGGCUGUGCUGUUGCUACUUUUCGGGCAUACCGAUCCGCCAACGCUUCUUGAGACGAGCAGGUUGAUUCUGACCUGCGUCUCCCAAAAGCACGUCAGUUCCCUUUGGCUCCAGCGAAUACGGCAGCAGACGUCUGUGCGCUCCAACCUUCUGUUCAUCAUGUCCAGUUCAACCAACACUGACCUGCUUGAGAAAGUCGGCGAACUCGUUGACAAGCUGUUUGACCUUGAUGAGGAGCUGAUGAAAACUUGGAUUACAGCUCAGCCUAGUGAGGAGGGUGAUGAUGGCGACGGCUGUCUGGAUUUAGCCCAGUGCCUUCUGGAGGGUGCCAAGCAGCUAAGAUCAGAGAGUCCAAAUGGUUUGGAGGUUUACCUUCAUGUAAUGCAGCUCUUAACCACAAUAAAUGAGGGCAUACAAAUGUUUGCUUCCAGUGAAGGACCAGGAAAAGCAGUGUGGAAUUUUUUGUGUGAGGUUGUCUGUGAAGACCUUUGCCAGGCAAAUGAUCUCACAGUUGUUCUGCAGGAACGCAAAGGUACUUUGGUCCAGGCCUUCUCUAUAUUACAAGCGCUCUAUGGAUUCCAGGAGGAGUGGAGCAGCAACGAUGACACAAGUCUAUCUCUGACUGGAACCAUUUUGCGGGUGAUACAAUACCAGAAUGACUACAAAGAAGAGUCUUCCAGUAAGGAAGAUGCACAAGAUGAGCAGCUCCAGACUUUGUCAGAAAUUACAAGUGAAUUUCUGUCAGACAUUUGCUUUCGGGCUUCCAAGGACACAAUAACAGCCUUAAUAAAGAGAGGUUACCUGACAGAGAAGUCUUGUCUCACAGCUUUUGGCAGUUUACUCCCAAAGUAUCUGACAUCAUUUAAGCACCUGCUGCUCAUGUUGUCCGAAGCGGAUCCUGAGUUGGCUGACAAGGUGUUGACGACUGCAGUUCCGCCCUCUCCUUCUGUACGCUGAUGCUUGUCGCCAAGUAGCACGUUGCUGUUUGCUGUGCAAUGAAAGAAUUGGGGCUAAUUAAAGAGACGGAAGGAAGCGCACCCCCUUAUCCUCACAAGGGUCGUGGGGAGUGCUGGAGCCUAUGCCAGCUGUCAACGGGCAGGAGGCGGCGUACAUCCUGAACUGGUUGCCAGCCAAUCGCAGGGCACAUCGAGACAAACAGCCGCACUCACAAUCACACCU